GUGACCUAGUGGGAAUGGAAUAUUUCCUUAAAAUGGUAAAAAAAUCAAGACUUGAAGACCAUGAUCAUUUGGGGAUAGGCAUGAUCAUAUCUUAUCCCUUUGUAUCUUUUUGAAAUAAAGAAAAAUCAAGGAAAAUAAAAGAGAAAUGGAAACUUACCUUAAUAUUGUUUGGGGAGACUUUAUGAGAGGAUUUGUGAUAAAGGGGCUAAGAAAGGAGAGAAGAGCUAUUGCUCUUGUGUGUGUGUGGCUGCCGUGACCUAGAGAGAGAGAGAGAGAGAGAGUGGCGUGUAGAGAGAGAGAGAGAGAGAGGAAGAAAGAAAGAAAGGAAGAAGGAAGAAGAAAGUGAAGAGGAACCCCCCUAGAGCUUGAACAAGGGUGUGGAGUUUGUGGUAUUGAUCUUUUGUGUUCUUGAUUCUACAAUCAAGAGAGGUAGCAAAUAGGAUUUCUCUAUGGCACGCGUGGUGACGUGAGGAGUUCUUCAUCAUGAGGUGUAUGGCGUGGGGCAAUCCUAUGGACGAUAAAACGAUCAACGUAGAACGCCAUUUAAAUUAUGUUUUGUUUUAAGGGACUUUUCCUAAAUUAUCAGUGGGACUCUGUUAUUUAACUUAAUUGGUUUUUUUUGAACUUUGCAUAAAAACCUAUGUUUUAUUUUAAACUUAUGGCGCCAACUUGCAUGAUUUUAAAUAAGUCCCCCUGAGACUUUAAUAAUGGAUGGUAUUCUUUUAUAAGCUA